ACGUUUUCCCUCUUAUCCUGACACAUGCAGCAGAGCGUAGAGUUUCUUCGGGGACUUGAGAGCGGCGUACGGGUGCGGAACACGUGUGCAACCUGCCUUUAUCUGGGGGAUAGCCUUUCGAAAGGAAGAUUAAUACCCCAUAAUAUACUGGAUGGCAUCAUCUGGUAUUGAAAACUCCGGUGGAUAGAGAUGGGCACGCGCAAGAUUAGAUAGUUGGUGAGGUAACGGCUCACCAAGUCAGCGAUCUUUAGGGGGCCUGAGAGGGUGAUCCCCCACACUGGUACUGAGACACGGACCAGACUCCUACGGGAGGCAGCAGUGAGGAAUAUUGGACAAUGGGUGAGAGCCUGAUCCAGCCAUCCCGCGUGAAGGACGACGGCCCUAUGGGUUGUAAACUUCUUUUGUAUAGGGAUAAACCUACCCUCGUGAGGGUAGCUGAAGGUACUAUACGAAUAAGCACCGGCUAACUCCGUGCCAGCAGCCGCGGUAAUACGGAGGGUGCAAGCGUUAUCCGGAUUUAUUGGGUUUAAAGGGUCCGUAGGCGGAUUUGUAAGUCAGUGGUGAAAUCUCACAGCUUAACUGUGAAACUGCCAUUGAUACUGCAGGUCUUGAGUGUUGUUGAAGUAGCUGGAAUAAGUAGUGUAGCGGUGAAAUGCAUAGAUAUUACUUAGAACACCAAUUGCGAAGGCAGGUUACUAAGCAACAACUGACGCUGAUGGACGAAAGCGUGGGGAGCGAACAGGAUUAGAUACCCUGAUAGUCCACGCCGUAAACGAUGCUAACUCGUUUUUGGGCUUUCGGGUUCAGAGACUAAGCGAAAGUGAUAAGUUAGCCACCUGGGGAGUACGAACGCAAGUUUGAAACUCAAAGAAAAUUGGACGGA
rnacentral:rRNA from 1 species